rnacentral:rRNA from 1 species
CCUACGGGAGGCAGCAGUGAGGAAUAUUGGUCAAUGGUCGGGAGACUGAACCAGCCAAGCCGCGUGAGAGAGGAAGGUACAGAGUAUCGUAAACCUCUUUUGUCAGGGAACAAAGGCGGGGACGUGUACCCGGAUGAGUGUACCUGAAGAAAAAGCAUCGGCUAACUCCGUGCCAGCAGCCGCGGUAAUACGGAGGAUGCGAGCGUUAUCCGGAUUUAUUGGGUUUAAAGGGUGCGUAGGCGGCCUGUUAAGUCAGCGGUGAAAGUCUGUGGCUCAACCAGAGAAUGGCCGUUGAAACUGGGAGUCUUGAGUAUGUUUGAGGCAGGCGGAAUGCGUGGUGUAGCGGUGAAAUGCUUAGAUAUCACGCAGAACCCCGAUUGCGAAGGCAGCCUGCCAAGCCAUGACUGACGCUGAUGCACGAAAGCGUGGGGAUCAAACAGGAUUAGAUACCCCAGUAGUC